GCAUUGUCGAAAGGAGAAUGGUUUUGUUGUACUGAUUGCAAUAAGAUUCAUACAUCUUUAGAUAACCUGGUAGCUGUUGGCUUAAGAACACUUCCAGAAACUUCUUUGGAUGCCAUAAAGAAGACACAUGUCUUUCAAUUUGAAGCAAGUCCAUGCUCUUGUCAUGUCUCUCAUUUAUACUGGAACAUAAAUCAAGAUGGUGCAUGCCCUCGAAUCAUGGGAUAGAGGUGUCCUUGUGUUGGUCCCAGGUUGCGUGCAUAUAAAAGACUACACUGGCAAGAGAAAUUUUGUGCAGACAUUCUUCCUUGCACCUCAGGAGGAGAACGGAUAAAUUAUCUUGAAUAAUCUUUCACAUCUCUAAUGACCAGCCAGUUCAUCACCAUCAUCAUCAUGUUGCUUAUAUGAAUCCAAUGAUCUUGUAUCUAAUAUACAAGUUUCAACUGCUCUUCAGGAACAAGGUCUUGUGCUUUAUUUCAUUUCAUCGCAUUAUUAACAUAAGUAAUUAACCAUAAGUAUGAAGUCCUAUACUCUUUGUUGUCAAAGGUGCACUAGGCGAACUUGGUGCGUGUAGGUGCUCAAGCGAGAUGCAGUGAUGAAAAGGGCGUCAUAGUAGUCCAGUCGUAAUUCUGUAAAAAAUAUGCAAAUUUUGGUAUAAAUAGCUUUAGCCUAUAGAAAAUAUCCAAAAAAAGUGGCCUAAACCUUGAUCCUUGCAGGUUAGUUGGAGUGGAUUUGUAGAAAGAUGGAAGUUUAGGCUACUAUAUUACACAUAAAAAUGGCCAGUUUGCACUGUUCACAUGUGUAGAUAAAUAUAGGUUGAUAAAAAUGUGCAGAACUCUAUAUACACUUUCCUAUAAAGGAUAAAAAGUUCAUUAAUUUCUGAAUUUUAAAAUUGUUUUGGUUUUGUUUCUACUGGUGUAGAAGUUCGAAAUUUACAAGCCGAACAUUGAUUGUUAAGUGAUAAAUUAUUUUAGUUUUGUUUCUUUUAGAGGUGGAAAGCUAUGGAGAUAGGGUAGGUAGAGUAACGGGUCAAAAUGGAUUAGGUUGACCCAAAGUUUUUUUAUGUCCAAACGCUUUUGUGCUGCGGCUUUAGAUCAUGUCACCUCGGUGCGCUUCUCGCUUUUGAAAACAAUCUUGGUUCUCAAUGCAUUAUUGUUUCUGGAAGUUUAUAUUUAUAUAUAUAUUCAACCAUUUCCAGAAAACGUAUAUACCCAAAAAUUUCUAUAGAACCAGGGGGGUCGAAAACAUAUAUACUCAAAAAAUUCUAUGCGAAAACUACAUAUAUAAAACUACAUAUGUUACUCGGAUGCUGCUGGGUUGAUUACGGCGAAUGUGGCAAGUUUUGGUGACCUUUGAUUCCUCAUAAGAUUACAAAUAAUUGACCUAAUGUGGAAAUGUCUAUGAAGUCAAUGGUGGUGGUUAUGCUGGUGAUUAUUGGCCUGAUAAUCGUGCUGGUGGUCGGGGCAGCUAAGUUGGUGGAUGUCGAUGGAUGCAAUGGUGGUGGUUUUGAUCGAGAUUGGUUAGGUUCACGAGUCUAGACGACCCUAUUAUUUAUUUAAAAUCUUUCAAAAUGGAUUGCUGACUUACAAAUAGUGACCGAUGAGUGAGGCAACCAAGGCUGGUGAAAAAGCAUCAAGUAGGCGGUGACACAUCACGGGAGGUGCAUUUUCUAGAAUCAAGGAUCAAGAUGGAUAGAGAUGAUGGAAAAGGAUGGGAGAAUGUUGUUGAUUUUAAAAUAAAACUCUUGACACUACUAUUUGACUCGGUUCAUGUAUUAGUCGGUAAGAUUUUUACUUGAGUUAAGAAUGUCUUCCAAUGUUUUUUGUGGUUUGUUAGCAAGAUCGCUUCAGUUUUAAAUUGAAUAAUACUAUGUUUGGCCACCCGUAUAAGAUCACUUCAUGAAGUACGUUGUAUCUUUGUAGGGUGAACAAAUUUUAAUUUGAAGUCUGGAACUGCA